rnacentral:lncRNA from 1 species
UGACAGAAGAUAAUGAAGACGAUAAUGAUACCUGAGAAAAACUUGGAGGGUUGUUUGGUGUCAGUCAGCCUGACAGAGUGUGAGCACAAAGCCGACUCUUUGGACUGCUCCAGAUUUCUUGUGGAGGCGCCCCAUGACUGGGAUAUUGAGGAGGGUCAGCCCCGAGUUGGACCAACACCAGGGGUCAGGAUGUCCUGCUGAGUCAGAAAUCUGUGAGGCCGCAGCUGCUGCAGAGCCUGCCGAACUGACUUUUGAAGCUGGUGAUGGCCUUCAUGUGCACCAGAUCUGUGACCAGGAGAUACCUGAAGUGUGGUCUUGGAUAUAUAUUAUCACAUCCAGCAAAGGUAUACGUUAAAAGACUUAUACGUUAUGCUGAUCUCGACAUUUGUCCAACCAACUGGAAGAGGAUUAUCUUAGGAGCCAUUCUUCUUGCCCUCAAGACUGGGAGUGAAGACACUGUGUGCCUUGAGGACUACUGCGAGCUCUUUGAGAACCUUACAGUUGAAGAUACGAAUGAGUUGGAAGAGUACUUCUUGGAGCUAAUUGAUUAUAAUUUCAUCAUUCCUGGAAAGGUUUAUACCAGAUACUACUUCUAUCUUCGUGCCUUGGCACACAAGCAUGGCCUGUGUUUGCCAGUUUACCUUCUUGAGAGAGAAAGCGCAUGGAAGCUACAGGCUUUUUCAAGGAUGGAACAAGAUGAAGUCUUCUCUACUGCUGGCCAGAAAAGGUCUUUUGAGUGCUGAUGAUUUGAUUCAUCUUCAGCGCUCUAAGGCCAUCCUCUCCUGAAGAAAGAAAUGAGGGGUAAUGUAACAUCUGAACCCCUCAUCAAAAAAGACAGGAAAAUACCACCUCUCCUGCUAAAGAACUAGAAAAAUUAGUAUUUUCAAAAGAAGAAACACCUCAAUUCCAGUUAACUCAAGGACAGCUAAGAUUGCACAUCCUAGUAAAGAAUGGGACCUUGUCAGGGGAACAACACAGUUUUACACUCUUGUGUCCCUUUUCAUGUAAACAGUGUUAUAGAAACCACUCCAAAGUGAAGGCUCCUUCUGCCCACACAUAGAUACUAGCUUAGUGUGUGGGCUGAUAGCUGUGAACUAUGUAAGGCUUUUGUUUGUUUGAUUUGAGAUGAGUCUCACUCUGUUGCCAGGCUGGAGUGCAGUGGCACAAUCUUAGUUCACUGCAUUCUCCACCUCCUGGGUUCAAACCAUUCUCCUGCCUCAGCCUCCCUCCUUAAUUAAAUUUUUUAAGUAGCUGGGAUUUACAGGUACACCAGGCCUAUGUAAAGCUUUUAAAACAAUAGUUUAAAUUUUUUAGAUUUUAAAGGUAACUUUUCUUUUUUUUUUUUUUAAUAUUUUUUCUUUCUCCCCAAAUUGCUGCAUAUACGUUUGAAAUCAACGCAGUAUUAGUAUUAACACAUGUCAGAGGUGUUCAUGAAUAGCACAGUCUUUUCUUCCUGGAGAUCCUCCCCUGCAGGUGUCCCAGCCUGCUCACAGCAGCCAUAGAAGGGGCCUGUAUACUGAGAGAAGCUGCAGAGCCCUGGAAAGCUAGGAAUGCACAGGCAGACAUUGGUGAGAGUUGAGAUGGGAGGUUAGUUGUGAUGUCCUCUGCAAUUGUUAUUGUCCUGAGGCUGUUUCUAGAUAUUGUCAAACAAAUUCAGAUGUAGGUAGGACAUGACUUAAUUUUAAAUUAGUAUUGCAGUGGGAAAGCACCAAGCAUCAGAUCUGCAAGCAUCUGAAAAGAGGGGGAAAAGGGCUGUUUAUAUGGAGGAGCAAACAAGAUUAGAAGGAAGGUGGGAGGAAGAGUGGAGAAUGGCAAAAUCAGAUUCAGGCUUAGGGAAUGUUUCACCCACAAAUCAGCCCAUUCUUAGGAGGGGUAUAAACAGAGUUUGUAUUUUGGCUCAGACUGAAGGCAGAGCAGAGUCCGGGAGGCUGGGGAAAGGAGACAAACUUAUAGAGUGUAUUUAACAGGUAUUUUGUUCUGAACACUGCAGACAAAAUUAAUCGUUUAUAAGGGGAAAAUGAAAAAUUAGAGAGUGUGUGCAUUUGUGAUACCUAAAAGAGGAAGGAUCAUCUAAGUCAUAAUGAAAAGGGUAUUUAUUUGCCGUAAACUCUUUCUGCAGAACACAAAGGAUGGAGAGUUUUUAACCAUGCCUGUUUACCAAGAUUGACUACCCACCCCAUCUUUUUCCCCACUUUACUUUGUCCUCUACAAUUUUUUCCAUUUGGUUUUUCUGAGUUGUAUCCUAUAUAAUAACCUGGUAAACAUAGGUAAAGUUUCUCUGCUAAGUUCUGUAAGUAGUUUUAUCGAAUUGUUAAACUUGAGCAAGGGAGUUAUGGAAGCCUAUGAUUUAUGGACAGAAAUACAGAUGGAAUUGCUGGAACCCAGGAGGCAAAGAUUGCAGUGAGCCGAAAUUAUGCCAGUGCACUCCAGGGUGACAGACUGAGACUCUGUCUCAAACAUAAAUAAAUAAAUAUUUUAAAUAAAAUCUUUUAAACAUUUUAAAUAAAAUCUUGUUUUAACCAAUUAUUGUUUGUAUUCAUAUAAUUUUGUUAAUAUAAAAGACCCACCUCUGGACAGACUAUUAUGAUUUUCUUCUUACUCAUAUCCAACUAAACUAUACCACCCUGUUUUCUAAAAAAAAAAAAAAAAAACAAAGUUUCUAUUAACUAAUCUUAUUAGUUUAGACUUAGACUUUCUGUUUUGCCUAAAUAUUAUCUUUCUUAAACAACCUGGUCAUUUUAUUUUAGGACAAAAAAUUUAC